rnacentral:rRNA from 1 species
UACAGAGGUCCCAAGCGUUGUUCGGAUUCACUGGGCGUAAAGGGUGCGUAGGUGGCCGGGUAAGUUUGAUGUGAAAGCUCGGAGCUUAACUCCGAAACUGCAUUUGAUACUGCGGUGCUUGAGGACUGGAGAGGAGACUGGAAUUUACGGUGUAGCAGUGAAAUGCGUAGAGAUCGUAAGGAAGACCAGUGGCGAAGGCGGGUCUCUGGACAGUUCCUGACACUGAGGCACGAAGGCCAGGGGAGCAAACGGG